GAUGAACGCUAGCUAUAGGCUUAACACAUGCAAGUCGAGGGGAAACGGCAUUAUGUGCUUGCACAUUUUGGACGUCGACCGGCGCACGGGUGAGUAUCGCGUAUCCAACCUGCCCUUUACUUGGGGAUACCCCGUUGAAAGACGGCCUAAUACCCGAUGUAAUUCAUUGAUGGCAUCAGAUAUGAAUAAAAGAUUUAUCGGUAAAGGAUGGGGAUGCGUCUGAUUAGCUUGUUGGUGAGGUAACGGCUCACCAAGGCGACGAUCAGUAGGGGUUCUGAGAGGAAGGUCCCCCACAUUGGAACUGAGACACGGUCCAAACUCCUACGGGAGGCAGCAGUGAGGAAUAUUGGUCAAUGGGCGCAAGCCUGAACCAGCCAAGUAGCGUGCAGGAAGACGGCCCUAUGGGUUGUAAACUGCUUUUAUACGAGAAUAAUUUGAUGCACGUGUGCGUUAUUGCAUGUAUCGUAUGAAUAAGGACCGGCUAAUUCCGUGCCAGCAGCCGCGGUAAUACGGAAGGUCCAGGCGUUAUCCGGAUUUAUUGGGUUUAAAGGGAGUGUAGGCGGUUUGUUAAGCGUGUUGUGAAAUUUAGGUGCUCAACAUUUAACUUGCAGCGCGAACUGUCAGACUUGAGUACACGCAACGUAUGCGGAAUUCAUGGUGUAGCGGUGAAAUGCUUAGAUAUCAUGAAGAACUCCGAUUGCGAAGGCAGCAUACGGGAGUGUAACUGACGCUUAAGCUCGAAGGUGCGGGUAUCGAACAGG
rnacentral:rRNA from 1 species